UACGGGGGGGGCAAGCGUUGUUCGGAAUUACUGGGCGUAAAGAGCUCGUAGGCGGUUUGUCGCGUCUGCCGUGAAAGUCCGGGGCUCAACUCCGGAUCUGCGGUGGGUACGGGCAGACUAGAGUGAUGUAGGGGAGACUGGAAUUCCUGGUGUAGCGGUGAAAUGCGCAGAUAUCAGGAGGAACACCCGAGGCGAAGGCGGCUCUCUGGGUCGUACCUGACGCUGAGGCGCGAAAGCGUGGGGAGCGAACGGG
rnacentral:rRNA from 1 species